CGCGGGGUGGAGCAGUUGGCAGCUCGUCGGGCUCAUAACCCGAAGGUCGUAGGUUCAAAUCCUGCCUCCGCAACCA
rnacentral:tRNA from 1 species